AAAUUAUUACACGCCGGGGUCAGUCACCUGACCCGGCGUUAAAGGCACAGUGCCUCAAUCACAGUGGGAGGUUUAGAUAUCUCCCACGUGUGAUUGUUAAUUCUGAUUGGAAAUUAUCCAAUCAGAAUUAAACUUAUGGUUUAAAUACUUACCUUUCCUGUUCCUCCCUGCCCUGUUGUGGUCUUUGCUUUCUAGUAUUGCUACUUAUCUUGUGUUUCUGGUUACGUACUCUCUGGCUUGUUUAUCUGACGCUGUGACUUUCUCCUACCCUUUGACCUCGGCUCGUUUCACGUUAUUCUGUCUUCUGGUUCCCCUUUACUUGGCUUGUCUCCUGACUAUUCUGU